GACGAACGCUGGCGGCGUGCUUAACACAUGCAAGUCGAACGGAAAGGCCCUGCUUUUGUGGGGUGCUCGAGUGGCGAACGGGUGAGUAACACGUGAGUAACCUGCCCUUGACUUUGGGAUAACUUCAGGAAACUGGGGCUAAUACCGGAUAGGAGCUCCUGCUGCAUGGUGGGGGUUGGAAAGUUUCGGCGGUUGGGGAUGGACUCGCAGCUUAUCAGCUUGUUGGUGGGGUAGUGGCUUACCAAGGCUUUGACGGGUAGCCGGCCUGAGAGGGUGACCGGCCACAUUGGGACUGAGGUACGGCCCAGACUCCUACGGGAGGCAGCAGUGGGGAAUAUUGCACAAUGGGCGGAAGCCUGAUGCAGCAACGCCGCGUGCGGGAUGACGGCCUUCGGGUUGUAAACCGCUUUCGCCUGUGACGAAGCGUGAGUGACGGUAAUGGGUAAAGAAGCACCGGCUAACUACGU
rnacentral:rRNA from 1 species